GAUGAACGCUGGCGGCGUGCCUAAUACAUGCAAGUCGAGCGAACAGACGAGGAGCUUGCUCCUCUGACGUUAGCGGCGGACGGGUGAGUAACACGUGGAUAACCUACCUAUAAGACUGGGAUAACUUCGGGAAACCGGAGCUAAUACCGGAUAAUAUAUUGAACCGCAUGGUUCAAUAGUGAAAGACGGUUUUGCUGUCACUUAUAGAUGGAUCCGCGCCGCAUUAGCUAGUUGGUAAGGUAACGGCUUACCAAGGCAACGAUGCGUAGCCGACCUGAGAGGGUGAUAGGCCACACUGGAACUGAGACACGGUCCAGACUCCUACGGGAGGCAGCAGUAGGGAAUCUUCCGCAAUGGGCGAAAGCCUGACGGAGCAACGCCGCGUGAGUGAUGAAGGUCCUCGGAUCGUAAAACUCUGUUAUUAGGGAAGAACAAAUGUGUAAGUAACUAUGCACGUCUUGACGGUACCUAAUCAGAAAGCCACGGCUAACUACGUG
rnacentral:rRNA from 1 species